UCCUCUGUUUCCCCUCUGCUUCAGGAGUCUUUCCUUAAGUCUUUAUACGUCGUCUCCUGCUGCUCAUGGUUCCCUUGUGUUUUCUUUUGGACCUUCUGGAUUCUACUUUUCUUGGUGAGAGUAUCAGCAUCUCUGCCUGAGGGGACGUCGUGUCCGUGUGGGUGUGAUUGGCUGAUGCUGCUGGACCCAGGUGGUCUCUGCGUGUUGGGAUCGCCAUGCGUCAUCGAGACAUGGAGCACGCAGUCAUUUCCCAACAGCACAGCCCUCCUCGCCCCCUUCAGAUGUCCAAAGUCGUUGCAGGCGACAGUGAGGGCGGCCACCAGCACCACAAACUCGUUGAAAUCCACCUCGUUGUCUUUGUUCGAGUCCAGGUCGUUCAUGAUUUUCUCCACCAGCAUCGGAUCCUUCUGAGACUGAGACAGAAACAAAAAAGAAAGAUGAUUAAAUCCUGAUUCAUUUGGGCUUAAAGGUCUACAUUACGGACUCUUCUGGUCCCCUUUUGAGCGGUUAGAAGUAGCUCCAUCUGUCUGUGUAUGAUGAGCAACAUUCCUGCAGUCGUUUGAUUGAUAUUGGCGCUUCAUAUUGACUCAAGGCGAGAGCUGCCACCGGGCGUCCAGAGGAGAGCAGAGUGAUGUUUGAGCUAAAUGAGGCAUGAGCUGCAGCUGAUCACACACCACAUUAAGUGCUCCGCUCAUUUCCUCCAGGAUCGAAAAACACGACACGGCUUUCCUUUUUCAAAAGCCCCUCAAAGCUCGGAGGAAGCAGUGAUCUUUAUGUUGCGGUGUUCAUUAAAGCCUUCGAUUUGGCAAAGGUCAAAGUAAAACACUAAUCCACUCUGCGGGUAAACCUGAGACGGGACACACUGUGUGAGGAGGAUAUCUACUUGAGCAGCUGAAUAUCCUGCAGGACUUAUCAGCCAACCAACCUUGUCAUCUUUAGGCUGGUAUGCAUAAACUAAAUAUUAUCUUUUAAGCACACUUAUUUUGACUUAAAGCACAUGUUGUGUCUGCAAAAAGCACUGAGGUUCUGCAUAUUACAUGUAACCAAUGUGAUGCAGUUUUAAGAGAAUCUGCAGGCUGGCAGGAAAAAGAUGACAGCUCAUUUCCAUCCUUUAGAUAAAAUUGUGUAUAAUUAAAUGUAAGCUGAUGUUUGUUUG